CCAGACUCCUACGGGAGGCAGCAGUGGGGAAUAUUGCACAAUGGGGGGAACCCUGAUGCAGCGACGCCGCGUGAGUGAAGAAGUAUUUCGGUAUGUAAAGCUCUGUCAGCAGGGAAGAAGAAAGACGGUACCUGACCAAGAAGCCCCGGCUAACUACGUGCCAGCAGCCGCGGUAAUACGUAGGGGGCAAGCGUUAUCCGGAUUUACUGGGUGUAAAGGGAGCGUAGACGGCAGGGCAAGUCUGGAGUGAAAGGCAGGGGCCCAACCCCUGGACUGCUCUGGAAACUGUCCGGCUGGAGUGCAGGAGAGGUAAGUGGAAUUCCUAGUGUAGCGGUGAAAUGCGUAGAUAUUAGGAGGAACACCAGUGGCGAAGGCGGCCUGCUGGACGGAUACUGACGCUGAGGCCCGAAAGCGUGGGGAGCGAACAGGAUUAGAUACCCGUGUAA
rnacentral:rRNA from 1 species